GUGCUGACCCAGACUCCAGCCUCUGUGGCUUUGUCUCCAGGGGAAAGAGUCACCCUCACCUGCAAGACCAGUCAGAGUGUUGGAAGCUACUUAGCCUGGUACCAGCAGAAGCCUGGGCAAGCUCCCAGAUGCCUCAUCUAUGGUGCCUCUAGCAGGGCCAGUGGCAUCCCAGCCCGGUUCAGUGGCAGUGCGUCAGGGACAGACUACACUCUCUCCAUCAGCAGCUUGGAGCCUGAGGAUGCUGCAGUUUAUUACUGUCAGCAGGUUGGCAACUGGCCUUUCAC